rnacentral:rRNA from 1 species
CCCUUAGAUGUUCUGGGCUGCACGCGUGCUACAAUGGCGCUUGCAACAAGUCUUGCCAACCCGAUAGGGUGAGCGGAUCUUUGAAGAGGCGUCGUGAUCGGGACAGUUGAUUGCAAUUAUUCGACUCGAACAAGGAAUUCCUUGUAAUCGCGAUUCAUCAUAUCGCGCUGAAUACGUCCCUGCCCUUUGUACACACCGCCCGUCGCUCCUACCGAUUGAGCGAUCCGGUGAAUGUUUUGGACUGGCGUCAGAAGCGGUUCGCUCCUGACACUACGAAAUUUUGUAAACCUUAUCGCUUAGAGGAAGGAAAAGUCGUAACA